CCUACGGGGGGCUGCAGUGGGGAAUAUUGGACAAUGGGCGAAAGCCUGAUCCAGCCAUGCCGCGUGUGUGAAGAAGGCCUUCGGGUUGUAAAGCACUUUCAGUGGGGAAGAAAGCCUUGGGGCUAAUACCCUCGAGGAAGGACAUCACCCACAGAAGAAGCACCGGCUAACUCCGUGCCAGCAGCCGCGGUAAUACGGAGGGUGCGAGCGUUAAUCGGAAUUACUGGGCGUAAAGCGCGCGUAGGCGGUCUGAUAAGCCGGUUGUGAAAGCCCCGGGCUCAACCUGGGAACGGCAUCCGGAACUGUCAGGCUAGAGUGCAGGAGAGGAAGGUAGAAUUCCCGGUGUAGCGGUGAAAUGCGUAGAGAUCGGGAGGAAUACCAGUGGCGAAGGCGGCCUUCUGGACUGACACUGACGCUGAGGUGCGAAAGCGUGGGUAGCAAACAGGAUUAGAUACCGUGUAGUC
rnacentral:rRNA from 1 species